rnacentral:rRNA from 1 species
AUUGAACGCUGGCGGAAUGCUUUACACAUGCAAGUCGAACGGCAGCACGGACUUCGGUCUGGUGGCGAGUGGCGAACGGGUGAGUAAUGUAUCGGAACGUGCCCAGUCGUGGGGGAUAACGUAGUGAAAAUUACGCUAAUACCGCAUACGAUCUAUGGAUGAAAGCGGGGGAUCGCAAGACCUCGCGCGAUUGGAGCGGCCUAUAUCAGAUUAGGUAGUUGGUGGGGUAAAGGCCCACCAAGCCAACGAUCUGGAGCUGGUCUGAGAGGACGACCAGCCACACUGGAACUGAGACACGGUCCAGACUCCUACGGGAGGCAGCAGUGGGGAAUUUUGGACAAUGGGCGAAAGCCUGAUCCAGCCAUUCCGCGUGCAGGAUGAAGGCCCUCGGGUUGUAAGCUGCUUUUGUACAGAACGAAAAGGUUUCUACUAAUACUAGGAGCUCAUGACGGUACUGUAAGAAUAAGCACCGGCUAACUACGUGCCAGCCGCCGCAGUAA